GUGAUGGCGAUGUGUUUGUAGAUCUUACUUUACUGAACAUUCUUGCUGCUUACAAUUAUCUCUAUCUAUAAUGAUUGGCCCAGUAGUUUCAGUGGAAAAUGUUAGUAAAAUUUACAAAGUUUAUGAAAUUGUUUAAAAAUUGACUAUGAAGGACAAUAACUCCUUAGGGGGUCAAUUGACCAUUUCAAUCAUGUUCACUUAUUUGUAAAUCUUACUUUGCUGAACAUUAUUGCUGUUUACAGUUUAUCUCUAUCUAUAAUAAUAUUCAAGAUAAUAACCAAAAACAGCAAAAUUUCCUUAAAAUUACCAAUUCAGGGGCAGCAACCCAACAACGGGUUGUCCGAUUCAUCUGAAAAUUUCAGGGAAGAUAGAUCUUGACCUGAUAGACAAUUUUACCCCUCUCAGAUUUGCUCUAAAUGCUUUGGUUUUUGAGUUAUAAGCCCAAAACUCCAUUUUACCCCUAUGUUCUAUUUUUAGCUGUGGGGGCCAUCUUGGUUGGAUGGCCGGGUCAUCGGACACAUUUUGUAAACUAGAUACCUCAAAAGAUGAUUGUGCCAAGUUUGGAU
rnacentral:lncRNA from 1 species